GUUCUAUUGGGCAACUGAAAGUUCAAUCAAGGCAAUAAUCAUCAAUGACUGCUAAGAUCAUUAAGUGGAAUACAAGGAUGUUAAAGUCAAUGGAUUGGCUGACAAAAGGGUUUUCUGUGGCCACCAGUGCCUGAUCUACCUACAUGCAAGUGCUGGGCAUUGACUCUCCCAGUCUUUGUGGGAACAGCCUUCACUGGAAGACUGACAGGAGCUGGCUAUCAAUCAAUGACUGAUGAAAGUCCCCCAGUUCUUUUGUACCACAGGUGGGAUACCUGAGGUGCAUAUACUUCGGUUGUUCCCAGAAUUCCCCAGCAGCAUUAUGCUUAAUAUUCUGAAGUGUUGACUUGCUUGAUAAUGAAUUUUUAUUGGCUUCUUUCAAUUUUGUCUGAAUUCUCUCCUCGCCUACUGGUGUGUCCUGAGAUCACAUCCCAAAUAAAACUCCCUGCACUCAA